UAAUCUUCUAUGAAAACGUAUGAACAAACGCCUUUUUACCUCCACCCAUUUCCAUUCCAGUUGCUGAUUUCGUCUGAAAUUUCUCACCGUUUAAUAUCAGAAACUUCAACAACAUGAAUCGAGUUUGCAUUGUUUCCUUGUUGCUGGGAUUAAUUUUAUGUUCUGCCAAAGCCGAAGAUGA